UAGUGAGUUUGAUCCUGGCUCAGGAUGAACGCUAGCGGCAGGCCUAAUACAUGCAAGUCGAACGGUCUCAGCAAUGGGAUAGUGGCAAACGGGUGCGUAACGCGUAAAUAACCUGCCCCAAACUGGGAGAUAGCUUUGCGAAAGCGGAGGUAAUACCCCAUAGUCUGGCUGGAUCACCUGGUCUGGUCAGUAAAGCAGCGAUGUGGUUAGGAGGGAUUUGCGUCUGAUUAGCGUAGGUUGGGGGGGUAGUCGGCCCACCAAGGCGAUGAUCGAGUCGGGGCUCU
rnacentral:rRNA from 1 species